rnacentral:RNase_P_RNA from 4 species
GGAGCUGACUGGGUAGUCGCUGCUUUGUUGAUGUCCUUCGGGAGACUGACGUCGAAGUCCCUUCGGGAGACUGACGUCGAAGUCCCUUUGGGAGACUGACGUUGACGUCCUUCGGGAGACUGACAAAGGGGAGGAAAGUCCGGGCUUCAUAGAGCAAGGUGCCAGGUAACGCCUGGGGGGCGCAAGCCUACGACAAGUGCAGCAGAGAGAAGACCGCCGAUGGCCCGUAAGGGUACAGGUAAGGGUGAAAGGGUGCGGUAAGAGCGCACCGGACGACUAGCAAUAGUUCGUAGCAGGGUAAACUCCACCUGAAGCAAGACCAAAUAGGCCUCCACAUUGCGUUGCUCGCGUAAGGAGGCGGGUAGGUUGCUCGAGCCAGUGAGUGAUUGCUGGCCUAGACGAAUGGCUACCGCCGCGCAAGCGGAACAGAACCCGGCUUAUGUGUCGGCUCCACCU